GCUCUUUCCCUGUUGCCCUGCUGUCCGGUCACCUAGCAGUGCAAUUGUGAAAGGGCAU
rnacentral:pre_miRNA from 1 species